GCAGGCCUAACACAUGCAAGUCGAGCGGAUGAGGGAAGCUUGCUUCCCGAUUUAGCGGCGGACGGGUGAGUAAUGCCUAGGAAUCUGCCUAUUAGUGGGGGAUAACGUUCCGAAAGGAACGCUAAUACCGCAUACGUCCUACGGGAGAAAGUGGGGGAUCUUCGGACCUCACGCUAAUAGAUGAGCCUAGGUCGGAUUAGCUAGUUGGUGGGGUAACGGCUCACCAAGGCGACGAUCCGUAGCUGGUCUGAGAGGAUGAUCAGCCACACUGGAACUGAGACACGGUCCAGACUCCUACGGGAGGCAGCAGUGGGGAAUAUUGGACAAUGGGCGAAAGCCUGAUCCAGCCAUGCCGCGUGUGUGAAGAAGGUCUUCGGAUUGUAAAGCACUUUAAGUUGGGAGGAAGGGU
rnacentral:rRNA from 1 species